rnacentral:rRNA from 1 species
GAGGAAAGUGGGGGAUCGAAAGACCUCAUGCUUUUGGAGCGGCCGAUGUUUGAUUAGCUAGUUGGUAGGGUAAUGGCCUACCAAGGCGACGAUCAGUAGUUGGUCUGAGAGGAUGGCCAGCCACACUGGGACUGAGACACGGCCCAGACUUCUACGGGAGGCAGCAGUGGGGAAUUUUGGACAAUGGGCGAAAGCCUGAUCCAGCAAUGCCGCGUGAGUGAAGAAGGCCUUCGGGUUGUAAAGCUCUUUCAGUUGAGAAGAAAAAAUUGUGACUAAUACUUGCAAUUCAUGACAGUAUCAACAGAAGAAGCACCGGCUAACUACGUGCCAGCAGCCGCGGUAAUACGUAGGGUGCAAGCGUUAAUCGGAAUUAUUGGGCGUAAAGGGUGCGCAGGCGGUUUUGUAAGUCAGAUGUGAAAUCCCCGGGCUUAACCUGGGAAUUGCGUUUGAAACUACAAGACUAGAGUGUGGCAGAGGGGGGUGGAAUUCCAUGUGUAGCAGUGAAAUGCGUAGAGAUGUGGAAGAACAUCGAUGGCGAAGGCAACCCCCUGGGUUAACACUGACGCUCAGGCACGAAAGCGUGGGGAGCAAACAGGAUUAGAUACCCUGGUAGUCCACGCCCUAAACUAUGUCAACUAGUUGUCGGAUCUUAAUAGAUUUGGUAACGUAGCUAACGCGUGAAGUUGACCGCCUGGGGAGUACGGUCGCAAGAUUAAAACUCAAAGGAAUUGACGGGGACCCGCACAAGCGGUGGAUUAUGUGGAUUAAUUCGAUGCAACGCGAAAAACCUUACCUACCCUUGACAUGUGCAGAAUUUCACAGAGAUGAGAAAGUGCCCGAAAGGGAGCUGCAACACAGGUGCUGCAUGGCUGUCGUCAGCUCGUGUCGUGAGAUGUUGGGUUAAGUCCCGCAACGAGCGCAACCCUUGUCAUUAAUUGCUACCAUUUAGUUGGGCACUUUAAUGAGACUGCCGGUGAUAAACCGGAGGAAGG